CGCAUGAAUUUGGGGAUCCGUAGUUAUUUUCCAAAAGCACUACCUAGCCUACGGUUGACUAUAGUCCGCGCGGAACUUGGCCGCGCCUUAGGUAUGUGAGCUUGUGAGCGGUGGGGCGGAGAGGCGAGGGCACUUGCUGUCUACACUCAGUUAGACGCCGUACGCAGUGACGGCAACGCACGUUGACAGUUCCGGUUAGCUGACACAAAACGCACACAGAGCCCGCGCGCUAAUAAAUAAAUACCUACCAUUCAGUCUCUGCCCUCCACCUAAGUUCAUCGUGACGAGUGUUGUUUUUGGCGCUGGACACCGCGCGAAAACUUUGUAGUGCCUAUACCUUUGUUCACGUAGGUAACUUCGAUUGCGCCGUUUUAAAAGUGUCACUAGAAUGCCAUUCAAAAUUGUAAGAACAUUAGAGAAGGGAAAAUACAGCCACUGGAUUGUUCCUGCUACAUGGGAAUCUAAUAACAUUGUAAAAUGGCCUAAAAGAAACAUUUCAAAACUUGUUAAAUGCGAUGAUUACUUACCAGACCCGGAUUGGCGACAAAUAAAGUGCCGAGUAAAACGAAACAAUAUUCCAACUUAUAAGGACGCUGAACGAGAACUCGAGAAUUUAUUAUGUGUAACAGACACUGAUGAAGAGCAAAUAAAUGACAAAAUGACAAAAUCCAACAAACAAGAAGUAAACUUGAAUGCACUUGUGGAACAAUUGACUACCAACCAAUACGAACCACUCAUGAUUUCUGUACCCAAUGAGCCCAACGCGUCUUCCUCUAAAUUUACAACAUCCGACCAACAACAAGUGUAUAACCAAUACAAUUCACCCGUGAUUUCUGUACCCAAUGAGUCCAGCGAGUCUUCAUCUCAAAUCAUUUUGACUUCAGAUAACCAAAUACUGGGUAUACCUCCAAAUACCUAUUGUGUGCUUGCUGAAAACCAAGAUCACUUUAUAGACAAAUCACAAGAAAAUAGUGAUUUAAAGAAAAUAUUAGACGUAUUGGAAAACCACGACAAAAGAUGGAUUCAAUAUUGGAAAAUCAAAAAAAAAUUAUGCACAAGAUGGCUUGCAUUUCUGUCCAAGUUGAUAAUAUGCAAUUACAACUCGGUAAUUGCAAUGAAGAGGAUGUUGUUCCCUUGGGUACGUCUAAAAACCAAGUUGAGAACUUGCGAUUCAGUU